rnacentral:rRNA from 1 species
AUGUCUACAGAUAUUAUUUUUUGUAUCUUAUGUACUUGUGAAAUGAUGUUCGCCCUUCAAAAUUUUCUGAUCUAUUUUCCUUCCAUCCAUAGUGUACUGCACAGGAACUUGUUCUAUGGUAUUAUCCCUAGAGAGAUGGGAGAUUUACGAGAGCUGAAGGUGUUGGAUCUGGGGUACAAUAACUUCAAUGGACCAAUUCCAUCAGAGCUAAUAAACAUUUUAUCCCUGGAAUUUAUCUUUCUUAAAAGAAACAGACUUUAUGGUGAUUUACCUCUUGAACUAAAUGAGCUCAUCAGUCUGUGUGAGUCUCAGGUUCGCCACGGCAGGACUUUCUCAAAUAGGAUGCCCGCUGCAAGAUUUUUCAUUCUAGGUUGUGGAAAAACGGAUGUAGCAUUCCUUCUACAAGUUGUCAUGAGCUGGGACAUAGAAGAAGAGAGCCGACAUAGAAGAAGAGAGCCGACGAGAAGUUGCACAGCGGUUCGCUCCGGUGUCGCUGCCAAUGGCGUUGCGCAAAGUGCAGAUUGCAGGCUAGAUGCGUACGAGUCCAUCCCUACGUCCAUGAUGUUGAAGCAUAGGAAAUCAAGUCAAUUAGAUAGUAUAUCUGGUUCUGAAAGUUGUCUUUUGUGUAGUAUAUCUGGUUAUGAAAGUUGUCUUUUGUGUACGCAGUUUUGCCAUUAUUUUGUAAAAGCUUUGAGUUUUUGA